ACCGGGGGCAGUGGUGCACACCUGUAAUCCCAGUGACUUGGGAGGUUGAGGCAAGAGAAUGAUAAGUUUGAUGCUAGCCCCAGCAACUUAGCAAGCUCCCCUCUU
rnacentral:sRNA from 1 species